rnacentral:rRNA from 1 species
AUUGAACGCUGGCGGCAGGCUUAACACAUGCAAGUCGAGCGGAGAGAGGUAGCUUGCUACCGAUCUUAGCGGCGGACGGGUGAGUAAUGCUUAGGAAUCUGCCUAUUAGUGGGGGACAACAUUUCGAAAGGAAUGCUAAUACCGCAUACGUCCUACGGGAGAAAGCAGGGGAUCUUCGGACCUUGCGCUAAUAGAUGAGCCUAAGUCGGAUUAGCUAGUUGGUGGGGUAAAGGCUUACCAAGGCGACGAUCUGUAGCGGGUCUGAGAGGAUGAUCCGCCACACUGGGACUGAGGCACGGCCCAGACUCCUACGGGAGGUAGCAGUGGGGAAUAUUGGACAAUGGGCGCAAGCCUGAUCCAGCCAUGCCGCGUGUGUGAAGAAGGCCUUAUGGUUGUAAAGCACUUUAAGCGAGGAGGAGGCUACUCUAGUUAAUACCUAGAGAUAGUGGACGUUACUCGCAGAAUAAGCACCGGCUAACUCUGUGCCAGCCGCCGCGGUAACAC